rnacentral:rRNA from 1 species
GACGAACGCUGGCGGCGUGCUUAACACAUGCAAGUCGAACGGGAUUUAGUAGACAGAAGCCUCGGCUAAAGAUUACUAAUGAGAGUGGCGAACGGGUGAGUAACGCGUGAGCAACCUGCCUAUGACAGUGGGAUAGCCUCGGGAAACCGGGAUUAAUACCGCAUAAAAUCGUAGAAACACAUGUUUUAACGGUCAAAGAUUUAUCGGUCAUAGAUGGGCUCGCGUCUGAUUAGCUAGUUGGUGAGAUAACAGCCCACCAAGGCGACGAUCAGUAGCCGGUCUGAGAGGAUGAACGGCCACAUUGGAACUGAGACACGGUCCAAACUCCUACGGGAGGCAGCAGUGGGGAAUAUUGCACAAUGGGGGAAACCCUGAUGCAGCGACGCCGCGUGAACGAAGAAGGUAUUCGUAUCGUAAAGUUCUGUCCUAUGGGAAGAUAAUGACAGUACCAGAGAAGAAAGCUCCGGCUAAAUACGUG